rnacentral:rRNA from 1 species
UUUCCCUCAGGAUAGCUGGCACUCGCUUGAGCGAGUCUCAUCUGGUAAAGCGAAUGAUUAGAGGCCUUGGGGCCGAAACGACCUCAACCUAUUCUCAAACUUUAAAUGGGUGAGAUCUCUGGCUUGCUUGAACAUGAAGCCACGAGAUUAUUCGUAAUGGAUCAGAGUGCCAAGUGGGCCAAUUUUGGUAAGCAGAACUGGCGCUGUGGGA